GACGACCGCUGGCGGCGUGCCUAAUACAUGCAAGUAGAACGCACAGUUUAUACCGUAGCUUGCUACACCAUAGACUGUGAGUUGCGAACGGGUGAGUAACGCGUAGGUAACCUGCCUGGUAGCGGGGGAUAACUAUUGGAAACGAUAGCUAAUACCGCAUAAUAUUAAUUAUUGCAUGGUAAUUAAUUGAAAGGUGCAAUUGCACCACUACCAGAUGGACCUGCGUUGUAUUAGCUAGUAGGUGAGGUAACGGCUCACCUAGGCGACGAUACAUAGCCGACCUGAGAGGGUGAUCGGCCACACUGGGACUGAGACACGGCCCAGACUCCUACGGGAGGCAGCAGUAGGGAAUCUUCGGCAAUGGACGAAAGUCUGACCGAGCAACGCCGCGUGAGUGAAGAAGGUUUUCGGAUCGUAAAGCUCUGUUGUAAGAGAAGAACGGGUGUGAGAGUGGAAAGUUCACACUGUGACGGUAUCUUACCAGAAAGGGACGGCUAACUACGUG
rnacentral:rRNA from 1 species